GGUUGCCCUGGCAACUGGUCGUGCGGGCAACUGGCGCCCGGCGCGCGCCGGUCCGUUAGGAGGCGGUGACCAGCGGCCACUGUGCCCUGGGCCUCUGAGGCCGCCGGCCGCUGCCAGGCGGCCUCGGGGGCUGGAGGGAAGGGGCGGGAAACCUACCGGGAGUGGGAGCGGAGAGGCGGGAAGGGGAGGGCCGGUCUCCAGAUUGCUCCGGAGCGAGAGCAGAAGGCUGGGGUCGGCGGGCCAGGCGACAUCCCGGCCUUCGUGGGCGCCUGGAGUCUCGCCGUGUGGGGCAAGGACUGUGCGGCGGCCCGGAGGGCGGCCCGGAGAAGGCAGCGGGGAGUGGAGGGCACAGAAGCGGGACAGGGGCCGCCGGGCACAGCUCGGUCAACGCCCGCCCGGUGCCCCAGCCUCGUCAGCCUUCAUGACCCCUACUAGUUUUUGAAAGGUGCAAUCCACCCACUGGCUUUGGUGAUGGCCACGUGGUGCGGCAAGGACACCCGGGCCUGUGAGACCUGUGUGGCAGCAGUCAGCCUCCAGUCGGGAGGUCCCAUGACCUGUUUAUGCAAAUAGCCUGUAAGUGUCAAUCCCUCCAACUAGGCCUCAGGCUGCUUCCCUCCUCACUGUCACACCUCAGGUCUCACCUGUGCCCAGGGCUUCCUUACUACUGAGGCGCUGAUGGUGCCACAUCUCCAGCUGGGGGCGCUGAGCCCAGCUGCCGACCACGGCAGACCCAGCGUGCCCUGCUCCAUAUGACCAGACCCAGGAGCGUGACCUUUCCUCCCACACCUGAUCGCCUGCCAGUGAAAUGUGCAUCCUUUCAGUGUCCCCUUAUCCUCACUUCUCUCCAUUCCACCCCCUCCCUGCCAAGUCUGUGCUAGCUGGCGCGCGGUUGGCCUGUGAUUGCCCUGUGGCAGACUCCUUCUCCGAGAGGGAGGAGUCUACUUCCCUGUCCCCGGCAGCAGAUGUAUCCACUGACUUGCUUUGCCAGUGAAAGGUGAGCAGAGUGACAUGAGUGACUCCAGGCAGAAGACUGAAGAACCAGUGCCUGGGUGGCCCAUGCCUUGUGAGAGUGGAUGUGGGUGACAAGGUGGAGCCUCACCAGCAAGCACCCGGCUGUCCCUGGAGAAUCACAGAGAUUUGAAGCAGGACAAGGACUUGAUGUCCAUUACUGGCUUCACAGAUGAAGGGGAGCAGAGACUUCAUCUUACAACCACAAGGAACUGAAUUCUGCUGACAACCUGAAUGAACUUGGAAGUGGAAUCUUCCUUAGUUGACCUUAAGUGCAAGUUCUUGAGCAGAAAGCCUCACCUUGUCAUGUUGGACACCUUACCCUUAGAAACUGUGAGAUAAUAAAUGUGUGUUGUUGCAAGCUGCUA